CAAGAACUAACACGAUUAUGCCCGUUCCAUCUAUAAAUAAUUUCUUUACAUCCCUGCUAUAUUCUUCUAGCUUUCAAAACGUAUUCUUCAGUGUAUGCCAACUCUGUCAUGCUCGGCAAUGUUUGACGACAUUUUGGAAGGCUCACGUUCAAAUUUGAUUUUGAAGUCGUUUUGUGCGUUUCACCACGAUUUUAUAUUUCGCGCAAUCGUAUAUGAACUUUUGUCAGUACUGGAAGACGAUUUUGAGCUAAAUAAACCGACUUAAUUUUCUUGCCAAAAUUAUCAUUUUAGUAAGUUAUAGCAGCAAAUUGCAAUAUAAUCUAUAUAAUUCUAUCGCCAUUCACCCUCGCCUCUUGAAUGCAAAGAAAUGAUAGCCGAAAAGGUUUAGAAAAGUAUUUUUUAUUAUAUCUGGUAUAAAGUGCAGGGGUGGAAAAUAUAGCUAACCAUGGGACCAUUGGUCCCAGCAAAUUUUUUAUGCUGGCAGAAAGAAAAAAGGAAAGGAAGAAAAAGGGGGAAAGAAAGAAAAGAAGGGAAAGAAAGAAAAGAAGGAAAAGGAAAGAAAGAAAAACGAAGGAAAGAAAAAGAGAGAAAGAAAGAGUAACUGCACCAAUAAGUAGCCAUUUUGUUCAGGGACAGACACUAGGUGAAGAGGAUGCCCCCAAAAUAAUUUACGAAAGAACUUUGAUAGCGGAAUGUAGCCUCAUUUGCAGGCAACCUUGUUGUUAGGUGCGGCCACAUUUGAUAUACGCAUGAGUUUCCUCGACAAUAGCGCAAAGUCCCACAUGACUGAACGUGUUCCUAAGAUUGAACGCUGUUCAUCUGUUUAUUCAAAACAAUAAACAAAUACUAUUAAUUUAUACCAACCUUAGCUCUAUGAUAUGAUUAUUCCUUGACCGAUCUAUUAUCCGCGAUUCCCGCCAAAACUCUCACGACUGUGUGCAAUUCCCGCCAAAACUCUAACGACUGAGUCAGUGCUGGACUGAUUCCGUGUGCCGUCGCUUGCAGGAUGAACGGUCGCUCAUAAAAACAUUGCCUAUUCGCGUGAGAAUCUUCGAUGUUUGUCAAGAGCACUUGACAGGUUUUAAUCUGGUCAGCCAAUCACGUUCAACCAGAUCCAAGCUUUAAAACCAUCAAAUGAUCAUGAUCAUCACAAACAUUGAACUUUCUGGGUAAAAACAUUGAACUUUGUCAUGAGAAUAGACAAUAUUUUAUCUGCGACCGUUCAUCCUUAGUUGCAAGCGACGGUAUUGAAUGAGACCGCCUUUUACAAAUCGCAGUCGGCGAUUUGUAAAACAUGGACUCAGUCCGCGUUUUCCCG